CGGAGGUGCCUGCGGGUAGAGCGUUAGGGGCGCGGCCGUGCCGGACCGGCCCUGGGGACCCACUGGAGCUGGAGGAGGAACUAACUAUGGCUUCCUGUCGUCUCCCGAGCGACUGCGGCUCUCAGGCGGGCCCAAGCCUGUGGCCUGUGUGCCCUCCAUCGUCAGGGACCCCUCUCAGGACGCUGCACCGAGGGUGGAACGGCGGGCUUCCAGGGACACUUUGAAGUCAUGUCAAUGCAGGUACCUCAGUACACGCUGCUCAGUUACGAGACCACGACCUGAGACAUUGUUUUAAAGAGGUAAAAAGCCUCCACUCAAGUGGCCCAGGAGCGUGAUCCAGGAAGAUGAACACAGAGAACCAUCUUCUGCAUUACAGGAAAAUUCAAUGGAAACUAGACAGGAAAAGCAACGAUAUCGGCGCUACCCUGGAACACCUCCUCUCACCACAAGCACGCCGGCUGUGGGACUCACAGGACUGCGCACACGUACAUGCAGUGAACGCCCACAUUCUUUUUUUUUUUCUCCCUGAUAGUUAUGCCAUUUAAGGGUUGAGGUUGAUAUGCUUCACUUUCAGCCCUCUGCUCUCUACCUGAUCUCAUUCUUUCUGGGACCAUCCUAUAUGCACAAUUGAAAGGGAAUUACCUAUUACUUCAAUUAUUUGUUUCUUAUCAACUGAUGUUAAACUACAAGGAUUUGCAUUGAAAAGACACAAAGAAAGAGCAAGUCAUGGCACAGCGCCAAAUGAAAGAGUAAUGUUCUGGUGAAUUUCGCCUAAAUAAUUUACUGCUGUAUAAAAGUGGAAAAGUGGAAGGUGAACCCUUUGACCAAUAAAUCUCUCCUGCCCAUGAAACCCUUAUCUGGUCUCCUGCAACGUAUUCCACACGAGGAAGCCAUCAUCUUGGGCUCGGGCUUGUGAUUUGUAAACCUUGAUCUUCUGCACUCCGUGUCCUAAAUAUGGAUAAUUAGCAUCAGUUUAUCACGCCUGUGCAUAUUUUCUCUUCUCUCCAAACAUGCAUGCUUCUGUUGGCUGCCAUUCUGCUACAGAAGAUUAUGGAGACAGAUUGCAGAGAAUGAAUGUGCUAAACGAGAUUAGGAAGGAAUAGAAAUAGCGACUUCGCCAAUAAAUUCCUCGUGAGAGCCUUAUCAUGCAAUUACACGUUGACUUGCUUCACACUCUCCCAGCCUCUUAAUCCAACACCCCCACCAGGAACGAAAUUUCACUAAUUUCUGAAUUACUGCAUAUCCUCCUGACUUGUUACUGAGAAUGGUUGGAAGGAGAAACGUUGCUGAAAACAACAUGUCAAACUUUAUCAUAAAAAGUAAACUUUAACUGUCAAAGCGGGCGGUAUGAAUUUGGAAUGUUUAAAGCAUUUUAGCGGUGACAAAAGGACUGGCAUAGAGAGAGAUUCGACUUUUCUUUGAGAUUCACCAAUUCUGCCAUUGUGUCACCUUUGGGGAUUCAGAACUGGCUGAAGAGGGGUUUUCCUUGCUCUUAAACAAGACUAUCUGAUGUGUUUAAAAACAAGACAAAGCAUCCACUGAUUUUUCUGACUUCUUAUUAUUACUGAUAACAGUCACGAUGCCCCUGGGUAAUUCUGGGCAAAUCACUUGACCUCGUAAGUGCCACCUCCUCCUGGCUUAGAGGCGCCGCUUCAUGUCCACAGCCCCUCCUGGCGCCAGCGUGCUACGGCUUCUCAGGCACAUUAAUGUAUACAAAUAGGAGAAGUCCUGCCUGUCCCAGGUCUCCAAGACUGCUGUACCAGGACAUCUACAGGGGGAGCUCUCUUCUUGCUCUUCUUCGCCUGUUAAUGUGAUUCUCCUGAGGCUUUAUAAUAAGUUCGGUAUUUAAAGAGGCCCAUUAAACCUUUCGAUCCACCAGGGGACUAUUUAUAGCACAGAGCAGCAGUCAGGCAUUGUGGUGCUCCUACAAAGGCAAGGUUCUGCAGCAGGAGAAAGAACACCUGGAGGACUGAACGUGUGUUUACUAGAAGGAAUGCAAAUCUAGCUCGGAUAUUAAAACUCUGGCUUCAUAUUUGUGCUUGCAGAAAAGGAAAAGAGUCCAAUUCAUGGUGGCAAGAAUUUACUAGCAAAAGAAAUGCACAGCGAUUGUAAAGAGAGUUGUACAUGUGGAUCAUAUGUCGUCUUCACUUUCUUUCCCACAAGUAAUGCCUGUGCGGGUUCACUGACGAGAGGGCCCUAUGAACCCUCCAGAGAAAAGAUUCCGUAUUUCCCUUCCAGAAGACCUGUUUGCAGGCCUUGAGUUUUGAGAGGUAAAGCUGGACAGCAUCCAUUGAUGAAUAGGUACUGUCUCCUCUGCAUACACUGCCAGGCACGGUUCCAGGACCAUGGGGUGAAACAGCCGCAGGAAGGAGCCCUGCCCUGGAGGAGCUGGCUUGCUUUUCUUCUGCAAGCUGGAUGCUUUUCUACUGGCUGCCAAGUAGCUCCAUUUUUGGCGAGAAAGCCAGCCUGGAACCCUGAUUUACCUUGAUUGGGAAGGAGGGACCCAAGGGCCUGGGGGACAGCCCUGGGAAGCACUGAUCUGAAGGGCUAGAUCCUUGGUAAGAAAUUACAGCGGAAGAACGCCUGUCUUCCAGAACCUGCCACGGAGGCUGCAGUGGGGUGGGUGGGGGUGCUUCCAGCUGCAGGCACCUCUACUCCUACACUAUGUGCAAGAAGGCGCGCACACACACACACACACACGCGCACACACACGCGCGCGCGCGCACACACACGCACACAUCCUGGGUGUCAGAGAAGGCCUCCCUUCCCUGCACCUCCUCUUGGUUCCCAAGCCCCUGAAGUCCAAAGGCGCCUUUUUGGAGGCGCGGGCCCUGCUGAGUGGAUGCGGGGAUGGGAGUCAGUGAAGGC
ensembl:lincRNA